CCCAAGGAGGAAGCCACGGCUAACUACGUGCCAGCRGCCGCGGUAAUACGUAGGUGGCGAGCGUUAUCCGGAUUUACUGGGGCGUAAAGGGAGCGKRGGCGGAKGAUUAAGUGGGAUGKGAAAUACCCGGGCUCAACUUGGGUGCUGCAUUCCAAACUGGUUAUCUAGAGUGCAGGAGAGGAGAGUGGAAUUCCUAGUGUAGCGGUGAAAUGCGUAGAGAUUAGGAAGAACACCAGUGGCGAAGGCGACUCUCUGGACUGUAACUGACGCUGAGGCUCGAAAGCGUGGGGAGCAAACAGGAUUAGAUAMCCYGGKARKCCACGCCGUAAACGAUGAAUACUAGGKGKGGGGGUUUCAACACCUCCGKGCCGCCGCUAACGCAUUAAGUAUUCCGCCUGGGGAGUACGGUCGCCAGAUUAAAACUCAAAGGAA
rnacentral:rRNA from 1 species